UACGUAGGGUGCGAGCGUUGUCCGGAAUUAUUGGGCGUAAAGAGCUCGUAGGCGGUCUGUCGCGUCGGCUGUGAAAACACGGGGCUCAACUCCGUGCCUGCAGUCGAUACGGGCAGACUAGAGUUCGGUAGGGGAGACUGGAAUUCCUGGUGUAGCGGUGAAAUGCGCAGAUAUCAGGAGGAACACCGGUGGCGAAGGCGGGUCUCUGGGCCGAAACUGACGCUGAGGAGCGAAAGCGUGGGGAGCGAACAGG
rnacentral:rRNA from 1 species